CNGGUUACCUUGUUACGACUUCACCCCAGUCAUGAAACACAAAGUGGUAAUCGUCCUCCCGAAGGUUAGACUAACUACUUCUUUUGCAUCCCACUCCCAUGGUGUGACGGGCGGUGUGUACAAGGCCCGGGAACGUAUUCACCGCAGUAUUCUGACCUGCGAUUACUAGCGAUUCCGACUUCAUGGAGUCGAGUUGCAGACUCCAAUCCGGACUACCACAUUCUUUUAAGGGUCCGCUCCACAUCACUGUCUCGCUUCCCUCUGUAAAUGCCAUUGUAGCACGUGUGUAGCCCUACACGUAAGGGCCAUGAUGACUGGAACGUCGUCCCACCUUCCUCCGG
rnacentral:rRNA from 1 species